CCGAUUGCUGUCGCGUUGCGCUUUCUUCGUUUUUUUCGGCUGCGCAAACUUAUAUUUUGUCGUUGUAAUAUUUUGCAUAAAUAUAUAAAUUAAAGCGCGUGACGGAACAACAAACAAAUAACGAAGCCAGCAAAGUAAAAGGGCGAAAAAUCGAAACGAAAACGAAUCGAAUUACUUUCAAGUGCAAAAAGUGUGCGUGUGCGUGCGAUUGUGUGUGUGUGUGUUGUGUUUGUGCGACAGAGUGUGCGUGGGUUUUGUGUGCAAAAAAAAAAACAGAACGUGCAACAAGAAGCAAGAAGAAGAGCCAUCAGCAGCUGACAGACCAGCAAUAAAACGAAAUUUCAAUAAUCGCGAGUCAAUUUGAGAGUGCUAUUAAGAAACCAGAAAGAAUGCACCCACGAUACAGUCCAGCCCCUCCCCCUCAGCAGCAGCAACAGAUGGGCGGACCGCUGCACCAGCAGCAGGGCGGCGGGGGAGGCGGAGGCGGUGGCAUAAGGGGACCAUCGAAUGCCCAGCAAUUGCCACCGCAGAUUCCGAGAUCCCAGAACUAUUCAAACGGGAGCUCGUCUAGCGCCGCCGCCGCACCUCCAACAUCGCGCAGCGCCUUCCCCGGCGCCCCGCUCACCGCCUCAGCCGUCGCACUCAAGGGCGCCCUCCCACAGCGGCCACCGGCCAUGACAAGUCCCGCAGCCGCUGCCGCUGGCGCCGCUCUGGCCGCCGGUGCUCCAUACCGCGGCGCCGCCAGCUGGACCCCGCAGGGCUAUGCCCCGGCCGCUGCCGCAGCCGCCGCUGCUGUCGCCCAGCAGGCAGCCUACCGCUAUACGGCGCCGCUGCCCCAGCCGGCGUAUGCCGCCUAUACGCCGCACACGGCCACCACACCGGCCACAACCACGGUAAGUUUUCUAAACCAACCUGUGGACUAUUAUUGGUACGGUCAGCGAGUGCCGACGGCAGCCUCACCGAGCAACACCAACUCGAGCAGCUCCUCGAACACGGGCUCCCAGAGCGGCACCCUGAGCACCAGCCUGAGCAACACGACGAACACCAACACGAACAUGGGUCCCAACGGCACGGUACAGAAUCAAAACCAACAGGGCGGCGAGCAGUUGUCCAAGACAAAUCUCUACAUUCGCGGACUGCAGCAGGGCACAACCGACAAGGAUCUAGUUAAUAUGUGUGCACAAUACGGAACCAUUAUAUCAACCAAGGCUAUUUUAGAUAAAACAACAAACAAAUGUAAAGGUUACGGCUUCGUCGACUUCGAGCAGCCAGCCUUCGCCGAGUGCGCCGUAAAAGGAUUGCAGGGGAAGGGCGUGCAAGCUCAGAUGGCCAAACAACAGGAACAGGAUCCCACAAAUUUGUAUAUUGCAAAUUUGCCGCCCCACUUCAAAGAAACUGAUCUGGAGGCAAUGCUAUCGAAAUACGGACAAGUUGUUUCGACCAGAAUAUUGCGUGAUCAGCAGAUGAACUCCAAGGGCGUUGGCUUUGCCCGCAUGGAGAGUCGCGAGAAGUGCGAGCAAAUCAUUCAGAUGUUCAAUGGUAACACAAUACCGGGUGCCAAAGAUCCCCUGCUGGUUAAGUUUGCCGAUGGCGGACCAAAAAAGAAGAAUCUCUUCAAGACGCCCGAUCCGAAUGCGCGUGCGUGGCGCGACGUCUCCGCGGAGGGGAUUCCCGUGGCCUACGAUCCCACAAUGCAGCAGAAUGGAGUUAGCGUGAACGUGGGCACGCCCAUCGGAGUGCCCUACUCCCGCUUCAGCGCCCCCCAGGUGGGUGGCUAUCCAGUGGCCGGCUCACAGUGGAUACCCGGUUACAUGAUGACCCAACCGAUCACUCAGGUAGAUGAUCAGACUUCAUAUUCUCCACAGUACAUGCAGAUGGCUGCUGCCCCGCAGCUGGGAGUGACCUCAUACAAACCGGAGGCGGUUAACCAGGUGCAGCCCCGUGGCAUCUCGAUGAUGGUUAGCGGCGAUACGGGCGUGCCAUAUGGAACGAUGAUGCCUCAGUUGGCCACCCUGCAGAUUGGCAACUCUUAUAUUAGUCCAACUUAUCCAUAUUAUGCACCACCACCAACUAUUAUACCAACAAUGCCAAUGACAGAUUCCGAACAGGCUAGCACAGCUGCAUCACCCGACGAGGCAUACACACAGUAUCCACAUCAAGCCGCUCCCAAAUAGGUCUUCGCGAGUAUAGUUACUAAACAGUCUAAUCACUGGUAACCCAUACUAGCUAUAAUAUAUUAGUACCCCAUUUGAGUACUAUAUAAAUUGGACGAGAGUGAGAGCAAGCCUGGUGGAAGCGGAACAGCCAGGGAGGAAGGAGAAUCAACAUCAAAAGCAGAGGAUCGGAUAAAGGAGUCUACAACAACCACCACAUGAACAACAACUAGAAGAGGAAACUGCUAAAGCAACAACAUCGGCAGAAGAAUGAAAAACACAGCAUGCAGAAUCUAGAGAAAAGCCAUCCCGAAAAGACGGGAAAAUCCCCGAGAGCGGUGGCAGAGAAAUAAUGUAUAAAUAAGAAGGUUGGAUGUGAGGAUGAAGUUUAGGGGGUUACAUGAAUGCGAAAAGUAAAGCCGGUCUCCGAAGAGACGAGCGCAUAAGACGCGAGAAAAAAGUGAAGAAAAGCAAAGACUAAACUUAAAUAAUAGAGAAUAGUUAUACACUAAAUAAACAACCAGAGAAGCAAAAGCAGUGCGGCAACCAUUGCCAAAAGAAACAGCGGCAAACGAGAGAAGAGCAGUCGAAGAUAUUUACAAAAAGAGAACUGCAGGAUGCGAAGAGAAAGCAAAGUCAAAGGAAAUUCACUUGGGGGUCGUAAGAACUUGAGGAAAUCUGCAGAGAGAAAAAAAACAAAAACUAUCGCAGAUUAGAGUUAAGUUAACUUUGUUAAGCGCAAGAGGAAAAUCAAUUGCAUGGGGGAAACCGAUGGGAAGAGCGAUGUAAAAAUAGAAGAGAAAAUAAAAAGAAACUAUUUUGCUAAUUUUGAGCUAGCAAAACCUAAGCAGACAGAAAUUUGUGAAGUGAAAGAUGGGAAAAAAGCGAAACAGCAACAAAAACAAAAAUAAAUGUGUGUGCAAUGUAUGUUAAAAACCCGUAAGGAAAAACAGAGCAAAUAAAAACGAAACAAAAUCCAUUUCGAUGAUGAUAUAAACAAAGCAUAAAUCUUAAGUCAAACUGCGGCGGCAACAAAGAAACCCCCAGAAGAACGAAGAAAGCGCAACGAUGCGCAGAAGAAAGCAAAACUUUUUUACCUUAGAGGCAACGUUUUCUUUGUUGUGGCCUGCUAAAGAAGAUUUUUACGAUGAAACUCAGACUCUACCUAUGUUUUGUUCUGUUUGUCUAAUUUGUAAUAUUUAUUUUGUAUUUUUGUUGAAUCGUGUUGAACAGCACAAAGAACGGAAGCAGAGGAAAGCGUAGAUAGCCACAAAGAGAAAGGAGAUCUUUGGUUUGUUUUCUCCUUUUGUUGGUUUCUUGAACCAAACAUGCAAAUUGUAUAAAGCAAAGAUCCGAAGAAAAGAAAACAAAACAAAAAACAAACCUUAAAAAAGAAAUGUCUAUUUCCCCCCCCAUUUGACAUUCGUUUUGUGCUAUCCAAGCAGUCAGAAAGAAGUAAAAAAAAAAAAUGUAUGCAAAAGAAAUGAGAAGAAGAAGCCUUUGAAACGGGCAAAAAUCUAGUAUUAAGUCUUAGCAAAACAAAAGUAAGAAAAUUGCAGUAAGCAAAAACAGAUUUAGUAGUUCUAGAGAUCUAAAAGAAAGCAGAAGAUGUGGAGAAUAAGCAAAAGCUUACAAAGACCGAGAGGAAAAUGGGGAAUCUUGUACUAGUUUUUAGCAUAUUUUUUGUGCUCAUCAGUCGAUUUAAUGAAUGAAUUUUUUGUAGCUGUCUACAGUUUUUUACGUUAACUGUUUUUUAGACAUAUUAAUGAGGAAAGUAAAAACCAACAAAAACAACAUAGAUAUAGUAUAUUUUUUCUGCAUAUGACGAAGUUGUUGAGGCAGGUGAAGAAUGAUGUUUGAUUAGCAUGGAAACCAAGAGGCAAACACUUUUUAAAAGGGAAUAGCGAAACAAACCGAGACAACACACAAGAAGUAGCAAAACACAGUAAACAGAAAAUAAAAUUUGAAACUGUAGCAUUGUAGUUUAGCUUUGUGAAGGUGACGGCUGGAGAAGAAUGUACGAUUUUUUGAAGGAUCAGCUAGGAUCGAAAAGAACAACAGCAACAACAACAGCAGCAGCAGCAGCAACAACAACUGGCACAGGCAGUAGCAGAAAUGUAUAACAAAAACCAAGAAAAUUAAUGUUAAAUUACAAAAAAAAAACAAAAUGAAGUAAGAUAGAAGAGAAACUACGUUUAGUAAACUUAGUUAGUAAGCAAAGAUUUCUUUAGUCUUGUAAGCGUCUCUUAAGUAGAGUUGAACAUGAAGUUGAGUAUGGAGUUUAGAAUUGAAAUUUAACCUUUUUCAAAGCCUAGCAUAUUUAUUUUUCCGAGACACACACAUACACACACACUGGACAGAGAGAAACAAACACACCAACACGGACACACCUAUCAAGCCUAAGCAUUGUAUUUGUGAUUUUUUCGAAUGUUAAUUGAUUAGCGAAACACGAUGAGCAAAAUAAGCGAAACAAGGGAAACAUCAAGUGGGCGAUGUGGGUGGGAGAAAGUGUGGCGAAGUGAGAACUUUUUGAGAAUCUCCGUUUGAGCAAGGACACCCUCUCACCACAAACAACAUUCCUGAGCAAAGUCUUUGAUUUGAUUUUGAUAUAUAAAAAUUUUUGUAUGUGUUGAUACGAUUUGAUUUUCGAGUUUAGAGCUGUCGAGUCGCCUAACUGAACUAUCUACAUAUAUAUACAUUAUAUAUAUAUAUAUAUACAUAUAUAAAAACGUAAGAAACACAACGCCAAAAGUCUUCCUAAGCCUAAAACCAAAACAACAACAUAAUGCAAAUGUUUUUUUUUUCAUAUUACGAUUAUUUGCUUUAGACUGACUACGAACUGAAACUGUAACAAUAACAACAAAUGCAGGAUUGUAAACCCAAAAAUAAAAAGAAAAGAAAUGAAAAUGUAACACAAUACACCUAGAAUCACCUCCUGAAGUUAAUGCAGGCAUCGCAAAAGAUAUCUAUUUUGCCAAGACAUUCCAAAAGCGAAAUUGUUUAAAGAGAAAUUCGUGCAAGAUGCCUGCAUUUGUUGUCCUUAAAAAAGAAGAAUCACAAAUACAAGAACCACUCAUUGGGAGGAUAUUUUUGAAAGAUUUUCAAUCCUGUUUUCCUCGAAACAACAAACACAACACACGCACACACAUACACCUCCACCCUGCCCCACUAAAAAAAAAAGAAGAAACAAAAAACUCACACACAAAGUGCAAUUUUCUUUCUGUAGUUUUCAUUGAUUUUACUUUGUUAGCAGGAAAAGCAACUUAAGCAAAUUGAGAAAGCAUUAAAGUCUAAGUUAUUUAUAAAUCGACGAAGGAAACGAGAUGAGCUGGGGCCGUGUCUUAUCGCCCCGCCCUCCCUAGGAAAGUGAAAAUGAAAUUUAUGUUUUAGUGAACGGGAAUGAAAUCGAGUCGAAGAAGCAGGAGAAGAAACCUAGUAUAUAAGAUCAAAGCCUAGUGCGUAAGUUUAGAAAAUCUAAGUACAGUGUUGACAAGCAAAGAAGAACGCAGAUGCGGAAACGAGUAGCGUAGUGAACGAGAAAAAGAAAUGUAGCAAGAAAGACGGAGUCGAGUAGGACAUAUGAUUUCUAGUUGGUAGCGAAA
rnacentral:misc_RNA from 1 species